rnacentral:rRNA from 1 species
CGUAAAGAACCUGCCUCAUAGACUGGGACAACAUUGGAAACGAUAGCUAAUACCGGAUAACAGUAUUUCUCGCAUGAGAGAUAUUUAAAAGUUGGUUAUGCUAACACUAUGAGAUGGCUUUGCGGUGCAUUAGCUAGUUGGUGGGGUAAAGGCCUACCAAGGCGACGAUGCAUAGCCGACCUGAGAGGGUGAUCGGCCACACUGGGACUGAGACACGGCCCAG